AAAUAAAUAAAUAAAUAAAAAAGAAGUAAAAUCCUAAGGUGUUGGUUCAUUUAUAUUUUUAUUGCUUCUAUUUCAAAGUAGGCACUUUGGUUGUUGAAAGUUGUUAACAACAGAAUACUCUGUUUGAGGUACAAUGCGAUGGGUUUUUCACUCCAUUGACAUAUUAGAAUUUGACAAUAACUCUUGAAAUUUUAAAAUUUGAUUGGACUUUGUCAUUAAAUUGUUAAAUAGAACAUUUUAAUCCCCCAAAAUCAUACAUUUAUAAUUGAUGCUGCAUAAGGACAAAUGCUGAAUUUUGAUACAAUAGAAAUGAAAGUGUAUAUUAUAUCAAAUCUCAAGGUGAUGUUCAGUAAUUUUCCAAAAUAAAUGUCUGCUUCAAUUAUAAAUUUUGAUAGCUAAGGAGUACUUUGACUCCCAUCAACUUUAUGGAAUCAUUAUAGAUAUUGAUUAAGGCAUUAAGCAUACAAUGAAUUAACCAUGAGUUCAUGUUGCAUGAUAAGACUUGCUUCUGAUCAAUUUUCCAUUUCACCUCAUCUAUGGAUUGUCUCACUUUAUACUCAAAUGGUAAUUAGCGUUAUGUAAUUAAAAUAUGAAUUCCAGUUCAUUUUUAAUUGAAGUUUUAGAUCGUGGCUUGUUUCGACAAAACUUUAUAAACCAAAGGUCUUAUUGUUGAUGUGAUGCAUUUUCAAAAGUAAUUGAAAGUAGUUCUGUUAGCGCAUAUGUUGUGUGUAUUUACUGAAACUAUAUGCAGCUUAUUGACUAGAGCUGAGCAAGAUAUGUGCAAAACUGGAAAGGCAAGGAUACUUAUUUAUGUAUUGAUUGGAAUCUGAAAUUGUGUCAAUUAGUUGCUUGAACGUAUACAUGCUAGAACUAAUUUUUACUCAGUACCUUAUUUUUUUAUUAUCACCUAUAAAUAAGUGGACAAACUAAAAUAGUCUCCCAAAUCUGAAGAACAGAGACAGGAAAAGACUGAAUCACAGGAAGAGACUGAAUCGUCAUAUCAAAACAGUUUCUAUGAAAGUACUACUUGGAAA
rnacentral:misc_RNA from 1 species